CAAAAGUUUGGUCCUGGCUUUAAUAUCAGCUUUAACCCAAUUUACACAUGCAAGCCUCCGCAGCCCCGUGAGAAUGCCCUCAAUCCCCCGUCCGGGGACGAGGAGCCGGUAUCAGGCACAUAAAAUUUAGCCCAAGACGCCUUGCUUAGCCACACCCCCAAGGGACUUCAGCAGUGAUAAACAUUAAACCAUAAGUGAAAACUUGACUUAGUCAGGGUUAAGAGGGCCGGUAAAACUCGUGCCAGCCACCGCGGUUAUACGAGAGACCCUAGUUGAUAUACUCGGCGUAAAGAGUGGUUAUGGAAAACAAGCACUAAAGCCAAAGAGCCCUCAGGCCGUUAUACGCACCCGGGGCCUCGAGCCACUAUCACGAAAGUAGCUUUACCCUCGCCCACCAGAACCCACGAGAGCUGGGACACAAACUGGGAUUAGAUACCCCACUAUG
rnacentral:rRNA from 1 species